UGGGGAAUAUUGCGCAAUGGGGGAAACCCUGACGCAGCAACGCCGCGUGAGUGAAGAAGGUCUUCGGAUCGUAAAACUCUGUCAUCGGGGACGAAGAAGUGACGGUACCCGAAGAGGAAGCCCCGGCUAACUACGUGCCAGCAGCCGCGGUAAUACGUAGGGGGCGAGCGUUGUCCGGAAUUACUGGGCGUAAAGAGCACGUAGGCGGCUAUAAAAGUCAGAUGUGAAAAACCUGGGCUCAACCGAGGGUAUGCAUCUGAAACUAAAUAGCUUGAGUCAAGGAGAGGAGAGCGGAAUUCCUGGUGUAGCGGUGAAAUGCGUAGAGAUCAGGAAGAAUACCAGUGGCGAAAGCGGCUCUCUGGACUUGAACUGACGCUGAGGUGCGAAAGCGUGGGGAGCAAACAGG
rnacentral:rRNA from 1 species